GUUAUUACCCUUGGGAAGCCUACAGCACAGAGUGCAGCUGACAUCUUUUUCCCAGUAUAUUCCUCUGGUCCGCUCGAGAGAGACAUCUGUGUGUCUAGAUAGAAGUAAAAUGCUGUGGAGCUUUAGGAUAGUUAAAUUACUAAUAAGUGGGGGUAUUCUGGAAAACUUCCAGGAGGAAAUGGCAUGUGCUUUGUAUCUUGAAAAAUAGAUAGGAUUGGGGCACUGGAAAUAUGAGUCAUGGGGCUGGGGAAGAUGGGAGUACCCACAGCAUUAAAGGCCUACAGUCUGGAACCUGAGGUCCUGAUUCAGGGAGCAUGGUCUGGAGUCCAGUGUGUAAGACAGGAAGGAGUGUGAGAGGGGACUGAAGAAGGAGGCUUAAGGCCAAGUCACGAGACCCUUAAACAUCUUGUUUAAGGACUUUAGCCUUAUCUUCAGACAAUGGAGAGCUAGGAAAGGGGCUUGAAUAGAGCAGGGACGUCAAGGUUCUCCUUUAGAAGGACGGCUCUGGCAAAAGUGCGGAGAGAGGAUUGCAGGAUUUAGAGGCAGAGAGCCCAGUUAGGAGGAUUCAAGCCGGUAAAGGAGAUUCCUAAGUGCCAGGUGUAGACUGACACUCACCCGGAAGCGCCUGUCUAGAACCAGCUCACCUGGGCGUUGACUGCACACUGUCGGGUGACCCAAGUCCAGAAACCUGUCUACCCUUUCAUGCCAUGUUCCCCCACGACAUGGGGUCUAACUAAAGAGUCAUUGGACUCAGACUGAAUUUACCUUCCAAGCAUCGUUUCCAUCUUCCAGGACAGCCCUCAAGUCGGCUGCUAAACCUUUACCUCAUUGCAGGCUUGGUUUACUCACUCUUGCCCCUCAGGCUACUCUCUGGGAUUUUCGUGUGUUUUCUUAACACACUGCGGAGCGGGCUGUGCCUGUCAUGUUCUGAAGAAAUGAUGAACAAUGUCUCCUUUGUGGACCCGCACCCUGGUCCAAUGGGACCCGAUUUUUCUUUCUUAUUUUAAACAGAUGGAACGGGGGUGAUGACAGAAAAUUGUCUGUUGCUUUUGAAAAAAAAAAUGUGGAGUUUUCCUGCGUAUUUGAAAUCCUCUUGGUGAAAGGUGAUGGGCCUCCGAAGUUACCCUCGUUUCUGCCAUGCAAACUUUGCAAGCUUCUUAAAAUGCUCUACUCAGCAUCUGACUUUUUAAAAACUGCAUAAAUACUCUGACCCAGAUUCUUCCAAGGAACUAAACCCUUCCCAGGGAAGCGUGUUAACCCUUUCCAGGUUCCCCCCAAGUCUGUGAGAGCCAGUGACUUCCUCCAUUAAGUUCUGCUAUGACAUUGACUGCGGUCUGCUGUUGUGCCCUAAUUAACUAGCUGGGUAUGCCACCCCCUGUCCCUUCUAGCCUAAAAGUCUUUUUUUUUUUUUUGUCUCUAACCCUGUCAUCUCCUCAGGAUUGGGCCCCCUGAAGGUGCAUGGAGAAUGCUGAUUAUAGUCAGGUUAGGGUCUCACUGCUGUGUCUGAAGCAGCCCUCAUGGGUCAGAUAGUUAAUCAACAACCCUUUUAUUGCCACUUUAGGAGUGCUUAGACUGGUAGAAUGAGCAAAUAACUUACACACACACACACACACACACACACACACACACACAUUUUUUGAGAGACAGAGGGGUCAGUCAAGUAACCAGAAAUUUGCCACGAAUUUGUCUCUGGACGGAAGAGAAACAAAAAAACCCCGAACCCAUGAAAUCUCUGGCCCUCCACCCUAAUAACUCAAGAAGAAAAUUUCUUUGGAAAUGUCCUUAUACACUAUUUUUCAGUAUCCUUACUUAUCCUGGGCAGUGAAAAUAGGACCAAGCUGACACUCUUUCCACCCCUUCUCAAAUGGGGAACGAAGAUCCUACCCUCAAGGAAGGUGGCAUUGGAAGCCUCCCCAUAGAUAGAACGGCCUUUAUUUUUCAGUCCUCCCCCCACCCUGAAAGCAAAGGGAAAACUGAACCCUGUUCAUCAGCAGAGGUCACUUCUUUGAUCCCACUGUGAGACCAGCAGAACACAGGGACUCUUUCCCACUGUAUCAUGCCAGAGAAGUAGGGCCAGGGGCUGCUCUGUUUAUCCCUGUCCCACUCUCUGGCCCACUAGUGGUGAUUUUCUGUCUUCUGACAUCACCUGUUUGCUUUCAACCAUAAAACAAAUAACUGCACCUUUAGUGAGACUCCGCUUUGUCCCUAGGUAUCAGAAUGGUUUGUGGGUUUGGUUUAAAGCGGCAGAAAAGACAGAGAGUGAGAGAAGAAAAAAAGCCUGCCAGAGCCCCGGGAGCUGCCCUGCCAAGAGCUAUCCUGGGAGAGCUAUUGAAAGAGCCUCGAGCUUUUAUCAGGACCAGAGAAGAUGUAAUGAUGUUGGAGCACAAAGACAUUGAACUGCUGGCUGAUGUCACGAGUAGCAGAGGGAGAGAGCAUUUCAGAAGAUUCUGUCCGGUUUCUCUUGGGAAGAACCACUUAGCAAGCAGUCCUUACCUGCCUGCAAUGAGUUAUCAUGAAAGUUACUCAUCUGGCUUUCCUUUUUAUCUGGAAACUUGGGUGAGAGUCUCUGGAAGGCGAGGAUCCUGACUUUACUCAUACGGGGCUCCCAUGAGCUCCUGCCCAGGGUUGGCUCUGAGGGAACUUCUGUUGGAUGACACUGAGGACCGCCCUGCUGGCAUGUUCAAGUCGUUCCUCCAAGCCUUGAGAUGUGAACAGCUGGACCUCUCAGCUGUAAACCCGUGGCCAUACUAACACCUCACGCGAAUGUCCACUGUAAGCAAUGUCAGCGGAGGGCGAGCCUCUCGAGGAACCGAAUGGAGUUUUACUCAUCUUGGCAUCUCUAUGCUUAGGCCAGUGCCUGGUCCAAAGUGGGGAGGCACCACCCAGGCUCCUGGGAAGCCCGCUGUGACACCCAAUCGACCCUUCCCUGCCAAAUCUGCCGCCGCCUUGGAAAGGAGAAGUGGUGGGAGAGAGACUGAGGUACAUCCCAGCCUUCUUGCACUAAGGAACACUAGACGGCAUGUUGGCGCUAUCCUUGGGGAUCAUUUUAAAGAGUGAAAUCGGUUUUUUUGUUUUUUUAUUUUUUUAGUACAAAAAAUGCAAAAAGCCCCACAAAAACCAAAAAACCCAAAACCCCACCCUGGCACUAAACGGAUUGGGAAAAGGACACUUUACCGUAUGAGAGCUGAAACAAGAAGGCACAACAUGGACCUCCCCUGGGAACGUGCGUGUCAAGAGGCUCAAAUUUUUCAUUCCUCUGCAGAUGUCUACAAAUGACUGCCAACGCACCACAGUAUUGACUGGGGUUAAAAAUAGGUGAAUCCACAAGUGAUGAGGAUAGGCUCUUACUAGAUGCCACCGGAGUCCUCUGAGCCGGUAUCGUGCUGUGCACGUCCCGGCUGGUCAGGAGGACUGGGACGAGCUGAACUGUGGGAAGUUUCGUGCUGGCUGGCAGCAUGCAUGACGGGGUGUGUAGGGACCGUGUGUGCGGCUCCCAGAAACCCGGUGGGUUGGUACCUGCCGCCUCCACUUGCAACGGCUUGUGCAAGGAUGUCUUUGGGCUGAAGAUAGCACCAGGGUCUGCCCUUCAAGCCCUGUCAUUUACAAGGGGUGGCAGAUCCCUGGCAGGAUCCAAGGUAACUACUCUCUCAGUGGCUGAUUUUAAGACAGGACCAAACCGUGGGCCCAUUUUUGGUUGCAUGAAAACACCAUGUUCUUUCGCUCUUUAAGUCUUUAUGUUGGUGGUUCUUUCUGUGUGGAAUUCCAUAUUCUUCUUCUUCUCUUUCCGCCCUCUACACACUGGCUGCCUAAUGUGUAUUUACCCAUCAAGUCAUGGUCACUACUUCCAAGUUUGGAUUCCAAGUCAGGAUUCGGUGGCCCAGCUCUAUGCCUCUCAGGGCGCCCUGCUGCCCGCAGGGUUAGUAUUCAUUACCUUACGUAUUUUUCUCUCUCCUCGACUGGACUGUAGCCUCCCUGAGGGUAGGACACUCAUCUAUUGUAUCCCCAAUCAAACUGCCUUAAAUAAUAAAGAUGUUAUUGGCUCUUAGAAAGAAACAUGCUAGAAGGAAGGCCUCAACGUUGUUUUAACUCAGUGGCUCAAGGAUAUAACCAGGAACCCAGCUUCUUUUGCUUUUUCCUCUCUGCCUUCAUCCUGAAAUGGGCUCCCGUUUGAGUGACACAGUGUCUGUGAAGAGCCUUCAGGAUACCAGCUUUCUUGUCCGUGUGCAGAGAAAGGACAAACACAUGGAUUGUUUCUCCUCCAACCAUCAGACAAAGUCCUGGGCUUCUGUCUGAUUGGAUGGUCUGAAGUCAUACGUCCACUCCUGAAGUGUGGAAAGAGGAAGAGGAUUACCAGGAUUGGUUGAAGUCUUAGAGUUGGGUUGGGACCAGUUAACUGUCCCAGACAGAGUGACUGUUAUAAAGUGGGGGAAGGGUAGAAUGGGUGUUGGGGAGGCCAGCCGUACUGCCCAGAAGACUAAGGCAGGAAGGCUAAGGAAGACUAAGACUGUGGCAGGAAGGCCCCUGAGACAGCAAAUUCUAGAAGAGCUAGGAUCCUGGAACAAAUUCUUAGAGAAGAGGCUCAGACUCACAUGGACAAGAGGGGAACCGUGUCCUUUUUACUGAAGCAGAGGGAUUUGCAGUGAGGCGGGUGUUACAUUUAGAACAAAGGCCCAUUAGGACUUGACCCUGUUUCUGCAGCUUCCCGGGAGAGGACCUUGAGGAAAGAGAGCCAGGCACCCCACCGGUGGAGAAGCUUCCCCCUCUGCCGUUGAGUCAGAGGAACGUUGCUCAUCUAGCAAAGAACUUUCUUGGUGACCACUGAAAAUAAAAUGUGCCCACACGCAGCACCCCAAACGAAUCUCCAGGGCAGUUGUCCAGACUUGGCUUCUUCUAAGAGAAGGAAUUGGUUAAGACCACGCUUCUCAACCGGGGGCACACAGCCUCAUUUUGGGGUGGUGACCCAGAGAAAGACAUUAAUCCAGAGGAUAAACUUGGUACAUCUUCAUGGGCUAUGAAGUCAUGGAGUGAGUCUUGGAGAAACGGUCAAGAACUCGGCCCUGGAGCCACAGAUGGACUUGUCAGGGGAUUCGAAGACCCUUUAGCAACUGAGGCAGGAGAGGCAUUGGGGGAGGGAGGGGAAUGCAGCUUCUAUGAAUCUCGUGUUUCAUCACGGCUGGAUCGCCAGCCUUCUGCAAGGCCCCGAAAUUGGUCCUUGGAUGGGGCUUCAGGGGUCUGUGAACCCCUGAAAUGAUCUACCAAGACAGGUGGUUUUCCUUCUGGCCCGAGGGACUCUGGAUCUCUGUGACUUCCACGAGGGGUAAAGUCCAGUGUUAACCUUACUAACCAGGGAUAGUAAUUGCAUACCUACUUUGCUGGACACCUCUGAGCCCGCAGACUGAGACAGUCCUAGAUGAAGAGCCGUGACCCUGGUCCCCAAGGUACUGGAGUUCACGAGGACAGACAGUCCAGUGUAGAGUGGCUGCCACCCGGGGCUCGAAGUAGCCAAGAUCAGACACCAAGGCAGGCGCUGCUCGAAUGCUCUGGGAGCACUAACUUUAAUCCUCACAGUGACUUUAGGAGGGAGGUGCCGUUAUGAUGCCAUUUGACAGAUGGUGAAACCGAGGCUGGGAGAGGGUAAGCGACUCAUGUAAGAUGACUCAGGAAAUCAGUGGCCGGGCCAGGAUUCGAACCCUGGCAGCAUGGCACCACCGGGGCCCGUGCACAACCUCUAAAUCUCCCUGACUUUCGAGAACAGACAGCAAGCCUCAGAGUGCAGCAGCCAGGCAGGAGAGUUGGGGAGGGCUGGGGGGGGGGUGCAAGGAUGUUAUUAGGGAUGGAGCAGGAAGUCCGGGUGAGAGGAAGGCAGUGCUACACAGAGAGGCUCCCAGGGCGCAGCUCCUUUCGCCUUCCAUUUUGUGUUCUUCCCGAGGAAAUGCGGAGCCUUUAUGUUGUGUGAACGGGGCUCACCUUCCCAGGCCAUGGCCUGGAUCUGGCAGGCUCUAUCUGCAGCUACUGAAAUCCCACCAGCUUUCAAGUGAGCAAAGUCAUCCCUCCCAAAAGUUUUCUUGGGCUGCCCCUUUAUCUCCCAGCCUCUGACCGAAAGCAGUCUUUCACUCUGUCCUUUGUCACACUUGCCUAUACGCAGUCAAGCUCUGGGCUCUUUCUGUGUUUGUUACUAGACUGUGAGCUCCUGGAGGCACAGGUCUAUUCCUUCCCCUUUUUACUCACUCCUGCACCAGGCCUGGUUUAAUAUCCUGCACAUAAGAGUUUCUUAGUAACUGCAUUUGGUCAAUAAAUGGGGGGACUGGGAAAGCUUCUGAUCUCAUAGAUGCCUCCCUGCACCUCUUGAUGGAUUUCAUGAUCAAGCAAACUAAAAAUAGACACGACGGGUGUCCCCACCAGAGAAGGUCUGGACCACCCUCUGCCAAGGGAAUACAAAGGCAGAGUCAGUCACCUAAGCCUGAAGUCCCUUAAAAUCCCUCCAGACGAGGACCAGGAUUAGUCCCGGGACCUGGGCAUAGCAGGAAGUCUUGUCAGCCCAGUUAUGAGGAACGGACUGUCAGGGCCGAGAGCCAGGCGGAUCAUUGCAUAAUCCUUCUUGAUUUCAGCGAGGCUUUCCGUGGGGCCAAUGACACGGUGUGGACCCUUGACUCCAAAGGGUACAGUGUCAACUAUGAGCACCUGUGAGCACCAGUGCUGCGAGGGGCAGGGCUGCGUCUGGUACUUUGUUGUAUUUCUGUUUGUUUAGAGCUUGCUUUAAAACAUUUUAAUUGGAAAUGGGAUAUGUGCACAUGAUUUAAAUAUUCAAAUGAUCCCAAGGGUCCAACUAGACCCUUAGCUUGUCAUCUUCCUGCCCAGAGGCAGCCAUCACUCAGCGUUUCUUUGCCCAGAGAAGCCACGUAGGAUACAAUAUUUUUACAUUUUUUAUGAUGAACUAAUGAGGUGGUUGUGGACAUACUCAAUGCCUUUGCAGGUCAUGGUGAUGUUGUUAUGGUUGUUGGUGAUCCGGAAAAAGACUUAGGGUUCAUUGACCUUGAGAACUGGAGAACUAGUCUUGCACAUUAUGGCGAUGCCUAGUAAUAAUGGUAUAAUGGUGGAAUGAUUAAAUCUGGAUAUCUCAAAUACUACCUGGGAAAAGACAGGUCUGGUCCAAGAAUAAUGGAAAAAGGAUCCAAGGAGAUGUGCUUGGACACAGAUUUGAUCCGGCUAGGAAAUGUUAGGCCGUUUUAGCAAGUACCACCAUGCUGCGAGGGUGGGUCUUAAGGAGUGUACCGACGGAGAUCAGCUAGGUAUUUAUUGGGUAGACUCUCAUUAUUUAUAACUGUCCUGUCAUUUCUUGGUUACUCUGCGGCAUACUGGUAGGAGGGAGAGUCACAGAGAUGAAUAAAGUAACUUCUGAGUAAGGGGGACCACAGUGCACUCAUAUAAUGUUACAAUAAAGGGGACCACACUGGCAUCAUGUAAUCUAAAAAAGCAAAGGACAAAAGGUGACUUAAUUAUUUAAGUGCAUGGCAAAGUAAGCUGGGUGGCCCCAGGUCUCACUGUCUGAGGACAGACGUCUUCUUUGUGGCCCUGGACGCUAUGGCUGCCUAUAGCCAAGGAUUUCCAGCCCCCUGUACGACCUCCCUGACUUGUCCUAGGAACCCCUGGGGCCUGUUCCUGCUGGCCACUCAAGUUACAGUUGGGCACCCUAGGCGCUCUGGAGCCAAAGCUCUGGGGAAUGAGGAAGAAGGUUCUUCCCGUCUCCCUUCCCUCUGUGUGAAGUUCCAGUAGUGAGGUCCCGAAGUUCUGUCUGCUCUCUGAAUUCUUGCAAAACUCCAACACCAUGGUCUUCUCAGUUUUUCCUUAUGGUCCUGCCGCUCCUGAUAAGACUCAGAUAGGAGUCCAACGCGUGUUUGGCCAAAGGACUCAGAAUUAAUUGCUCUUCUCCUUUGUUGGACAGGACUGCCUUCCUGGGUUAGCCCGGGUCCCUCGGGUCACCUUUCCCACAGAACAAGCUCCCUCUGGAGGCUCCAGGGCCUCUCCCCUAAUUGUCAGUCAGACAAGCCCAGACACGUCAGAGCUCCAGCUCAGGUUCAAACGGGGACCUCGGUUGCCACUGGUAGUGACACAGAUGCUAAUGAACUGUUCGGGAAGGAAGGCCAAACAAGAGGCAGUGGGUAUGAGGAAGAUUCCAGUGAGUGAAAAGGCAGGAUUUCUUGCAUCGGGAUGAUACCAAGGAAAGGAAUUUUGAUCUCCCUAAGGAAGAGUCUACAAUCUUUCGAGAAUAGUUCAGGAAAAGGCAUCCUCCUUCUUUCCAAGCUGAUUCAUUCUUUGGUAUUCCUGAGGCAGACUGACAUGUCCUGCCUUUCAAAUCGAAUGGCGGUGGCCUUUCCCCUAAUUCAGGUAAUGGGAUUUUUCCACGUAAAAAAUUUUUUCCGCACAUUUUCCUUAACUCUUAAACCUUCGGCACCUGCAGGCAACAAAACUAAUGAACGAGCAGUUAACAUAUGAAUGGGAGAGCUUGAAAACCACCAAUCUCGCUGAGUUUGUUGCUUUUUUUUUAAAGAACAUGUGUGCUUGUGGUUUUAUAUUGCCUGCCCAUAAUGUAGCCAUAUUUUCUGCUAUUAAAAUUGUUCCUCCUUCAUGGAUGGAAUGAAACAGGCCAUUAUUCCAGGGUGUUCCCGGAACGGCCUCAUGUUUCAGGAAGCACGCCCGACUCCUAGUUCUCCACCACCUGAGCACACUUGAGCAAGGCUGUUGUAGACGCUGGAAUAUUCACUUCCUUUCCUCCUGCCCCACUCCCUCCGCUGGUUCACAGAGCGGCCCAGACUGACUCCUAACCUCUGCCAGGCUAAAGAUAACCUCUCCAUCUGGGAUAUCACCCACGGGCUAAAUUUACUCUCAGGGGUGAGUUGGGGCUACCCUGACUGCUGACUCCAGGCCCGCAUCUGAGCACCCACGCUCAACGUCACUGGAGGGCCCGGGGAAGGGACAGGGACCUGGAGGGAGGGGCGGGGAGGGGUAGGAAUGAAAGAAGCCAAGAGAAACUGGCAAAGGGGCUUCAGAAACCGGGUGACACACCGUGGCUACGGCAUCAACUGAGGUCAUUGGAAAGAUUUGACUGCUCCCAGCAAAGAAUCCUUUUCCGUCAGUUAUAAUGUUACUGUAAUACAACCCCCAAAGGGAAAAGCCCAGUGCUAAUCAGGGCUCAAGAAGCCAGUGGACUUGAUGUACAGAAUGGGGUGUUUAAUUUUAUGAUGUGGCUAUGGGUUACAUGCGAGACUAAUAAAAGAACUCCAUAAAAUGUGGCUUGGAGCAAUGGGGUUGCAGCCUGUGCCAGAGGGUCACCAUCCUCCAAAGUGGUUUUAGAGCAGGGCCGAUGUCUAGCUGGUGUGCACUAGGCUGGCCACUCGGGCCCUUACGCUCUUCAGAGCUUUCUAUACCAGUUAUUCAAUAGCCGUUGCUCUUAGCUUUCCUCUGUGCUCCCCUGUCGCCCUGGCUGCCCGGCCCCCAUCCAGGACCUCCCCACGAUCCAGCAACCAAAUGCAGCCUGCUUGCAGAUACCGUUCUAGGCCACGUCUCCAGUGCCGCAUCGUUCUGGAGUGGCUGGUGCCCACACGGGAGCAGUUGUUGCCUACUGAGAAUGUCGCCUGUUUUGCAGCACCUCUUCCUGGGGAUUAGAUCUGGCACAGACCUAUGGAACAGACCAGUGACAGUUCCGUAAGACUCCCCUUCUCAGAUCCCAGACCGGGCCAGGGUGCCCAGAGAAGGCUUUCUUAACAGGUGGCUGUCACUCCCCUGGUUGCUACAAGGACACACCCAACUGUUCCUUUGAAUCAUAGUUGACUGCUUCAAAGGAGAUCUUUGAUAAGCACAGGAAUGACGUCAGGGUUGAAGAAUAUUUUGGGAAGAAAAAGACGCAUUUGCGUAAUGCUUCCCAAGCAGGAAUCGCAUUUGCCAGAGUUUGAAUCAGAAGGAAACUUAGAGGACAUUUGGUCUCUCUUUACAGCCCGCACGGCCCCUUCUGUGUCAACCCCCACAGGAGAUAGCCAGCCCCUUGUAGGUCAUGCCCAUUGCCAGGGAGCUCAGCUCUUCGAAAGAAGCCUCUUGAAGGGGCCAACAGGAGCUGAAAUCUUCCUAACAAAUGAAAGUAUGAACACCCUUUGUUGAGCUCUGAAAUCUUUCUACACAUCUCAGAUUUUUGUUCCUUACUUUGAUGGGAUUGCAAGUCCAAAGAUAGCCCCAGAGCAAGCAUUGCCAUCUGCUAACAUGUCCUAUAGUCUCAAGUGAGGUGAGAGGUCAUGCAAUCACUCACUCAUUCAUUCAUUCAUUCAUUCAACCAACAUUUACUGAGUGGCCAAUAAGUGUCAGACCAUGUCCCUGGUGCUGGAGAUUCAGCAGUAAGCUAGAAAUGGUUCUGUUCUGAGAAACUGUCCGGUCACUGGGGCCAGUACUAGACAUCUGAGGAGACCAGGGAAAUCUGGGGUGGGUGAGCUUUGCCUCUGAACCCCAUUCCAGGCCUCGGUCCAUCCUAGACAGGGUCGUCCUGGGUAACUCUGGGCAAGAAGCUUCUGUCUAUGCUUCUCCUUUGCCCUCACGGGUUACUAACGGCCUGGUGGGUCCACUGAAAGCAUGGAGUCCUCAAGAUGGGCCCUCAUUGUACAGACAUGGCGAUGGAGAGGCUAAGGGCCGUGUGCCACCGCCCUCCUUACACUCUCGAGAAAUGCUUGUGAGCAUCAAACAUUUUAUAAUGUGUUUUGCUGAAUGAAAAAUUGAAAAAAAUAAAUAUUUUAUCUUUCAUAAACCAUAAAUAUUAGACAAUUUGGAUAAGAAAACAGAAGACAGUAAAAAUUAUUUAUAAAUUCAUUAUCUACAGGUAACAGGUUACGUGCAAACUUUUUUUCUGGGUGUAUUUUGUAGAUCUGUAGAUGUGAGAUACACACACACACACACACGCAUUUUAUACCUUUUUCACCUAUUUUCCCAGUGAUCACAACUUUUAAAAAAAAUCCCAUUAUCCAAAAAAGAUUUAAUUAUUGCACAUAACUUUGAAGGACUUCCCCCAAAGAAACCAGUGGAGAACAAAGAGUUUAAUGGUCUUCUAAGCAUAUGAGGCAUCUCCUGGGCACAGCAGAUCAAGUUUACCCUUUGUUUGUAUGAAAGGCAAGGGGGGGGAAUGGAGAUUUUCAUAAGAUGGUGCCCUGGCUGCCCUUGACUUCCAGCUCUAACCUGGUGCUUGUCUUGGUGAGGCAACCACUGGAACGAUGGAUGUGGAGGCUGGAGGAGCGAGGGCGAGCAGGGCUCAGUUAGAUACCUGGGCACGGGAGCUGCAGCUGGCCUCUCUCCCGUUUGACCCAACAGAGAGCAUGGGGAUGGGGCUCUACGUGUGGUGGGCCCUGGGCUCUGUCAGCAUUCAUGAGCCACCUCCCUGGUCCCAGGCUGUUGCAGAGAAGCUGAACCUGGGAAGACAGAGGAACUAGAGUCUUCCUUCCUCCUGGGGUGGCUUGAUUGGAACUGACCGCCUAUAUGCCGCUCCUCCCAGGACUAUCGUCACUUAAGGAACCCUAAGUUGGCCCUAGCUUCAAAGGGCAGAUAAAAGAAAACUGUGUAUGUGAGGGGGCUCAGCAGGCAGAGGGAGAAGAAGAGCCCACCGAACAGUUCCUCUGGCACAUAGCACUGACUGCCUGAGCAGAAAUUGCAAGGACAUUAAAACACAGUACCAGGAAAAAAAAAAAAAGACUUCCUGGAAUUAAAACAUAUUUUUAACUAAAAUACUCAUUGAGUGAAUUAAAGCAGAAUAUCAGAAUAUGGACUUAGAAGAUCAAAUGCAAUAAUACCCCAAACACAGAACAAGGAUACAAAGAGAUGGAAAUCAUAUGGGCAAAAUAAGAGCCCGGGAGGCUGGAGCCAGGACACCGAAGAUGGCAAUCACGGGAGCUCCGGGAGGAGAAAAAGAAACAGCUGAAGGACAGGGGAAAGCUAGACAUGAUAGAAGACAACUGCCCUGCGUGAAAAAGACUGGGGUCUGAGGUUUACAAAGAGCUCGUGGGGUCCUGGAUUGAAAAGCCACACACCGAAGCCCAACCAGGAUCCUGUUAAUUCCGGAUUUGGAAAAAUAGACCUGGAAAGGAGGCGGGCACUCACCACUUCAUUAUCUUGGAAGAAAGGUCCCAGAGGCUGUGAUCCCAAGGACUGAUUGUGCAGACUUACAACUCUGAUCUACAUCAUGGCCCCGCAGCAGUGCUCCCAGAGCUUUCUCCGUGAUGCAAAUAUGCUUUAGGACUGUCAUGCUGGAUCUUAACAGCAAUAAGCCUUUGAGGUGCUGGAAAGGUCCACUUCCCUCUGGUUUUGCUGGGAGGGGAGGAUGCCCCACAUUUGUCAUUCUGGUUUUUGACUGGCCCCUCUUUUUCAUGUUUCUUGUUCCUUCUUUAUUCUCGAUUUGUUGCUCUUGGCACAAGAAUUUGUGUGGAUUUGUUCAUAACAAUUACCCUCUGCCUUGAGAAGCAUGUGGAAUGUUUUAGGGAUAUUUUUACGAAGUCUUGGGCCGUAUUUUUUAUGGUUGGAAAUUAACCAGAGAACUGCAAAAAUACAGGCUUGCAUACUCAGCUUUACAUCUCCAGGAUGAGUCCCUCCUGCCUCCUCCUACUGUGCCCUAGAUCUUUGUGCCAUAUGGACUUCUUGGACCGGAUCCUUCUUCUCUGACAGGACUUUGGGGUUCCUUGCAGCUCUGUAUUUUCAUCGUCAAGUCUUCUGGUCCUCUUCUCACCUCCUAGAUCCUGUCAUUCUCCUUUCUCACUUCAGUCCUUGCCUCUCCCCGCACCCCAUAUUUCUUCCAUCUUAGAAAUCCUUGCUCUUUGAGCUGAAGUACCUGGUCAGCCCAGUGUUCACACCUGCUUCCUGUAAGGACUCAUGGAGAUCACGACUAUUGGCUGCAGUCGAGGUGUGGGCUUCCGUUCCUUUCGAAAUGCUAUUAGCCAUUCAGACUACCAUUCAUCUUGAGAAAUGAACUCACAGGAUAAUAAACUCCAGCAAACAUCCUUUUGCUCGGCCAUGGUUGUACAGUCCUGAACUGUCUUCACCUUUUAAUCAUUUUGAUCAUUCCUUGUAGACCCUCAACUAAAGACGUUUCUGGUGCCUUUCAUCUUCAAAUUUAGGAGGCUAAAGCCUGAGGAAAACUGUUUGAAUCUUGAACGUGAUCCCACAGUUGUUUUUGUUGCCCCCUGACCCCACAGUAACGGGGCAUGGACUCUGCAAUGGGCGUCCGGGUAGUCACCAAGGACAAGAGAAUCAAUGUGACAGCUUCCUGCUGUCAGGCACUCAGUAUCUAGCCAAGGAGACUAUCUCUGGUGACCAAACAAGGUGAUGAGGGUGCACUGAGGAGGAACGUUCAAAAUCUGCUUGGGUAGCCUUGGUACAGGGGCAGUGAGGAAGGCUGUUCAGCUCCGAAGGUGAAAUCUCAGGUGGGUCUUAAAGGACGUGGGUCAAACGUGGCUAGGAAGACAGAGCUAUUAUGGGCAAGGAACAGCAAUAAGAAAAGCAAGGGGUUGUGAGAAGAAUGGUAUGUUUGGGGAUCGAAGGGCAGUUGGGUGUAAGUAGAUGGAGUGGAGGGGAUAGAAGUGACUGGAGGGGAGGAGGAGAGACUGGGCUGUCCUCUUAGAGAGUUCUCAUGGUAGGCGCCAUGUGACGUUUGGACAACGAUGAUGAGAAUCAUUGACCGUCGCCCCCCACCCCCACCACCAUGAUCUUUCUGCGGGGUGCUCCUGCCCGCCAACUCGCUAGGAGAUGCUCUGACGGAUCUGCCCGAGUGUGUGUUUCCGGCUGCAAAAUGAAGAGCGAGGGACCUGUCACGAGAGAUGCCGUUCGGACUGUGUGAUAAUCCAGGUGUAGCAGUUGGAAGUCUACUGGCUUGGAAUCAGACCAAAAUUUGAAUGUGAGCUGUGUCAUUCAUCAAGUGAAUAACUUUGGACCAGUCACUUAACCUUUCAUCUGUGAAAAUGGGGUUUGUUGAGAUUAAGUGAGAAGAGACAGGUGAAGGCGCCAAGGACAUUGCCCACCUUGAGGAAGUACUCCGUAAAGGCUAGCUUCUUCUCCUUCCCUCCCUCCCUUUCCCUCUUCUCCUCCCGUCUUCCCAGACGAGGGCUUUGAUGAAGAAUACAUUUCAUUAAUAUCA